GAUGAACGCUGGCGGCGUGCCUAAUACAUGCAAGUCGAGCGAACAGACGAGGAGCUUGCUCCUCUGACGUUAGCGGCGGACGGGUGAGUAACACGUGGAUAACCUACCUAUAAGACUGGGAUAACUUCGGGAAACCGGAGCUAAUACCGGAUAAUAUAUUGAACCGCAUGGUUCAAUAGUGAAAGACGGUUUUGCUGUCACUUAUAGAUGGAUCCGCGCCGCAUUAGCUAGUUGGUAAGGUAACGGCUUACCAAGGCAACGAUGCGUAGCCGACCUGAGAGGGUGAUCGGCCACACUGGAACUGAGACACGGUCCAGACUCCUACGGGAGGCAGCAGUAGGGAAUCUUCCGCAAUGGGCGAAAGCCUGACGGAGCAACGCCGCGUGAGUGAUGAAGGUCUUCGGAUCGUAAAGCUCUGUUAUUAGGGAAGAACAAAUGUAUAAGUAACUAUGCACGUCUUGACGGUACCUAAUCAGAAAGCCACGGCUAACUACGUG
rnacentral:rRNA from 1 species